rnacentral:rRNA from 1 species
ACCAGCGGCGAUAGCACAUUGAAUACAUAAGUUCCCCACGGAUCACUGAAGUUAGGCAACGUUGCGCGUGGUUAGUACCUGGCUGGUGACCAUCUGGGGAAUCGCUUGCUGCUGGGU